ACCAAUGAGCAUUAAGCUGUGUCGUCAGUCAGUCGUUUCCCAUCAUGCUUUUGAUCAGCGCAGUCGGUGGAGGAGAGCAACUGCGCGCGACUGCACAAUCAGACUCACGGUGCGUUCCAAACGGGAUAUAUCGCCCUCUGAAGGGCACGAGUGAAAACAAUCAUGGCCACAAAUUUGGAGGGUCGUUCCAAACCGAAGUCACUUCAAAGGGUCCUUCGGAAUGAAGAAUUUCGAAGGGUACAACUGAUGGACACAUCGGGCUCCCAUGAUCCUUUGCGCAGAUUCUUUGCAUGAUGACGGCGCCUCCGGAUUUUGCUAAUCUCAAACAAGCCUGUUGUUUCUAUAGCGAUAUGAUUGGAUAUGACUCUUUAUUUUCGGCUGUGAUUGGUUCAUGCGAUAAAUCCCUCCUCUUGUGUUUGUGCGAAUUCCGCGUUCGCGAAACAGUCUGAAUAAACAAUUAAAAGGCGUUAAUGGGAAAGACUGAUUUAAAAAAAGUUACAGGGCCUGUUUAAGUGAAGACGUCAGUGAUAGGAGCGCAUGCAUGGGCUGUAAGGGAGCCAAGAAGCCAUAUUUCAUAUGAGGAGUUCAGAGAUCCAUAAAUCACAGGACUUACAAACUCAAGGCCAGCUUUACCUCUACCCCCACUUCCAUCUCUUGCUGCAAAAUCAAUGGAGUGAUGUAGGUAUCUGGAGGAGGACAUGGGGACAGGCUUAAGCAGACUGCUUGUCUGAGUUCCAUUUCAUGCAUCAGCGGCUACAAGCUCAAACACCAUGAUCAGCCUUUGCUGUUCAACACCGCACUCCCUCACACUAGUAUGCACAGUAUGCACACACACACACAGUCAUGCAGACACAAGACGCAUUCAGAAGGCAACACAACAUGUUAUUGGAUGCCGCAUUGAUCUACUGAAUAUGAAGUCUUGCUGCAACAGUGCUUCCGAAAACAUUACAGCGUUCGUCUCUGGAAGAAUAAUUCAGCCUCUGUCAGUUCAUACUCUGACAGCAGUUUGACACAGACAAUACAGAACAGAACAGGACAGAGGUAUGCACUUAUAUAUACACACUUAAAUAGUUCUCAACUGGUGAGCUGAGACUCAAAAAAAAAAAUAGUCAUGGGUCUGACAGCAGGGGAAAAAAAUAAUGAUAAA